GAGAAAGAAUUAGGACCGCGCUUGCAUUUUACUCUUUUUUUAUCAACCCUCUCUGCCCGUUUAGACCGAGUGGCGGCGCUCCAGAUCCGAUCGGGAUGCAGGACGACGGCGCAGGGCUCCGGGAGACGAGGAACGGCGGGGAAGUGGCGGACGUCGGGGCGAGGCGGAUGAGGUCGGGAUUCAGUGCGGCGGUGAGGAGACCAGCGGCGACGAUGCUCCAUGGCCAUGGUGGCUCGGUAUCCUGGGAAGAAGAGACGAGGGAGAGAGAGAAGGUGAGACGGAAAGAAGAGAAGGCAAAGUAGGGACGAUGCGGCUUCGUGCUGCUGGUCCGGUGGCGUUUCCAAGUUUGAUUUUUGGAUUUCUCUCCUUCCCGCUGCCUGAUGGGGGUUGCCCAGCCGCCACUCUCCCUGCCCCGCAGACCUCCUCCCCCUAGCUGCACCUCCCUGCAUUCAUGGUGACGCCGUCACCCUCGCUUGCAUCUUGUUGUUGCUUUGUUGUCCGUGGAUAAGGAGUGACAGAUUUGACCGAAAAUAGAAAAGGAGAAGAUUUUUUAUGGUAAAAGGAGAGGAUCUCAUAACAAAGGGAAUUUUUAGUUGUAUUUAUCGGAGAGAAGAAGUGUUAUUGUUGCUACUUUUGAUCGCUCUGAACAUGUACUUUGUGAUUUGCCACUGAUUAGUUGACGUCUUGACGACGAGACAGUAAGCUUGCAGGUGAAUCAGGCUCUGCAUGCUUCGGUCUGGGGUGCUAGCGGGAGCUCAGGGGCGAUCUCCCAGUCUACCGCCCGACGACCAGGAGACGCAGCUCUCCCAUUGGGAGACCGGCGCGGUCAACCCCAUUGGUGAUUUGUUCCUGGCCUGGAUCAAUCGGUCCACACACAACUGAAACAAGCAAAUUAAUGGAUUUUGAUAAGGAUGUUAGCUUGAAAGUGGAAACAUACAAAGCUUGCUAUUAGGUGUUGUCCUGUUGCCUCUCACGGACACACAUAUGGAUCCGCUAGGCAGGCUAGAUGCCAAUCUCCACACGCCUAGAGUCACUGGACCUCUGUCCUCCCACUUCAAACUUCAUGCAAAACCUUCAUCCAUUUGCAGAGAAGGCACCGACUGCGUUGUCGGCUAGAUGGCAGCCUCGGUGUGACUAGGAACCUAUGACUCCAAUGGUUCCAUUGACCUCCUACUUUUAACCAUCCCACGCAUGACAGCAAGCAAUUCUUUUCUUUGUUCAGAGUUACUUAAAGGCAUGUAUGCAUUUUAAUCAAAGAGAUUUACUGAUUUACUCUAAUGACUAUUCAGGCAGUAUGUGACAGGGAUGCUUCUCCACUGACCCCAGCAUCGUGGAUGCUAAUUACAAUUGAAGAUCUGCAUAUGUGUGAUUGGGAUUUAAUGUGCAAAUAUGUGAAGCUACUAGGGAGUUUGCGUCUACUGGAUUGUGCAUGCAGUAUUUAGUACCCAUUGCUUUACAUGUGAAAAUAUUUUCGCUAUAGUUAUUGGAACUAAUUUUCUUACAAUGAAACUACUACUUGCAUGUCAAAAAUUGUACGAUUUCAGUACUAUUAGUGAUCUAAUACAUGCCCGACAGGGUCGACGACAGUGGUGAGGGCACAACCAGCUGCUUCCUCCAGUUCAAUAGGCAGUCAAAUCAAGAUAUUUAUACAUCAUCUUGAGGUAUGUAGUCUGAUGUCCACGAUAAUACUUCUAAAGUGCAAUAGUGAAUUUUGAUCGUGUAAUACCAUCACAGCUACACGCGUACAUGUACCCAUCAGAGUGUGGUUAAUUAUUUUCUUUAUUUGGCGGCCCUUUGUGCAAAGCUUUGGUAGGCGUUUUAAUCAUUUGAUUUCAUGGUACGUGUUCUGCUUAUGUAGGGAUUUAAUUUUCGGCAUGCAUGUUUAAUUUUAUUUGCGAACCUGCAUUAUUCAACUGGUUGUGUCUUCUUUUACUUGUUCAUCAAUUGAAGAAUUUUUCAUGCAGAAAGGUGAUCUCCUAAUGCGCCUAUCAGCCAUGGGCUACAAACUGAAUUAUCAACAAGAUUAUUGUGAUACCCGGCGUUGUCGUGCUCUACAACUAUGCAAUAAUGAUCUCAAAAGAACAAUAACUAUGCCACAUAGUUCUGAACUCUGACGUUUUAUGUUUUUGGUUAUAAGUUUCUUUUGAAUAUUUGGUGAAUAAUCCAAUUAAUCUUUCCUUAUAGUUUGCGUUGUCAGAGUAUGUUUUCACUGUAGGAAAUUUAUUUCAACAUCUCCAUGAUGCCAUAACUCUAUGUAGAGUUGUUCAGCUCCCACAUUAUCCUGAUGCUUAUUGCUAUUACUAUGACAUUAUACUUUUUUUCAGAAAGUGAUUGCUCCAUCAGGUACUCAUAAAAGGAAAUUGCACAACUACACCAUGGCUAUCCAGUAUGUCAAGCAAGCUCGGGUUCAGAUGACUGAUGUAAAUGGAGUCACAAUUUAAGCAGAAGAUAUUCUUAAUGGCGACAAGGAACUAAUUUUUCUGUUGCUAUGGAUAAUGCUCAUUCAUAUGCAGUGGGGAUAUUACUUCUCAGCACUAUGUUACUAUCACUUGCCUAAAUCAGAAGGGUUGCAGUACCAAAUUUCUUUUCAGUAAGAAAGUGUACGUGCAUGUGUUAUCCAACAAGAUUAUGUGAAGAUUUUGAGGCUGCAGUAAACUUGCUCUCCGGCAAGAUCAAGCCUCAUGUUGUUGUACAGAGAGUACCAAAGAUGCAAGGUGGAUUUAGAUGAGAAAUGAGUGAAUUUUCUACUCUUGGGUGUACUACACUCGAGUUUACACGAUGUUAAAUUCCACCCGGCUUACAUCCACGAUGUUUCCCUAAUUAUGUGCAACCCACUAAUUCACAAUGAUGUAUUUGCUCGAGAGGGUGGAGUAAUAUUUUGAUAUGUAUUUCUGUCUGCACAAAUAAAAUGUAUUUCUAUCUGCACAAAUAAAAUGUAUUUCUUUCUGCACAAAUAAAAUGUAUUAACUGUUGAUGUCGCUACAAAAAGUUUUUCAUUAUUGUGGAAGCAGAAACACACUUGAGAGGAUUUCAUUUAGUAUGUACUUUGAGUUUUCAGAGCUAGAGAGGCUGGUGCCAAAUCUACAUCAGAACAACGGCAAGUUAACAAACGAGGAGGCUGCCAAGUUGUACUGUGGCUACUCUUAGAUAUGUUUUUGCACUUUUGAAUUUUAUUUGAGAGUGAAUCUCAAAGGUAUAACUUCGGCAAAGUGCUAGCGCCCACCUACAGAUGACAAGAUUUUCUUCUUCUAAAUGUAAUGAGGCAUGAGCCACAAACACUUCAUAGAACUUUAAAUUAAAAUAUUAAUCCCCUGCGUGCAUAUAAACGAUAAACAUUGUCCUAAUAUAUUUUCCAGUAAAUGAUUGUGAACCGAUUUUUUUCAA